rnacentral:rRNA from 1 species
GACAGAGGGUGCAAACGUUGUUCGGAAUUACUGGGCGUAAAGCGAGUGUAGGCGGUGUGGUAGGUCGGAUGUGAAAGCCCCGGGCUCAACCCGGGAAGUGCACUCGAUACUGCCACGCUAGAGUAUCGGAGAGGUUGGUGGAAUUCUCGGUGUAGAGGUGAAAUUCGUAGAUAUCGAGAGGAACGCCGGUGGCGAAGGCGGCCAACUGGACGAAUACUGACGCUGAGACACGAAAGCGUGGGGAGCAAACAGG